rnacentral:tRNA from 1 species
GCCCACGUAGCCCAACAGCAGAGGCGCCGGUCUCAGAAGCCGGAGGUUGCAGGUGCGAAUCCUGCCGUGGGUACCA